rnacentral:tRNA from 7 species
GACCGGAUGGCGAAGUGGAAACGCUGCGGUCUGCAAAACCGCGAUGCGCGGGUUCGAUUCCCGCUCCGGUCUCAA